CUCUGGGAGGCCCUCCGGGGCCAACAGUAAGUCUGAGUCAACAUUAAUCUGGCCCAGACUCCUGUCAAAUUGCUGCUAUUGCCCGGGGUCCCAGUGUUCCUGAGAUUUUUGUGUGCUCCCUUUAAGAGUAAAGUCCAUUUCCCAUAGUCUGUCGGGACUUCUGAAGUUAAGCCCUGCCUGCCUUCAAAGCCAUGUGCUCUGGUACCUUGUGUUCCUGCUGCAGGAUCCCCAGGCCAGGGGACCUGAUGUGGGACCCAGAACUCUUACUCCUGUGGGAGAACUUCUGCAGUAUUAUUCCCCAGUUUACGGGCUCUCCCACCUAAGGCCACCAGGAGCUUGCUGGAGAAAAGUUACUAAACUCAAAAUCAUCCCACUGUGUUUAUGACAAGCUAUUGUUCUUAGACCAGUUUGGAAGGAAGGACAACUUCCAAGGAAUAAGAACUUCCAUAGGCGAUGGAAGUCAGUGGAGGGUGCUUUAUAGGAGAGGAUGUGGACAGAUGGGUGAGUCAUUCCUUCCAUUCAGUUUCCCCUUUUAAGUAGCCAAAGUCCAUUCUUAGUGAUUAUUGUCCUGCAAUCGCAAGCAAAGA
rnacentral:lncRNA from 1 species